rnacentral:rRNA from 1 species
AUUGAACGCUGGCGGCAGGCCUAACACAUGCAAGUCGAGCGGGAACUUCGGUUCUAGCGGCGGACGGGUGAGUAAUGCGUAGGAAGCUACCCGACAGAGGGGGAUACCAGUUGGAAACGACUGUUAAUACCGCAUAAUGUCUACGGACCAAAGUGUGGGACCUUCGGGCCACAUGCUGUCGGAUGCGCCUACGUGGGAUUAGCUAGUUGGUGAGGUAAUGGCUCACCAAGGCGACGAUCCCUAGCUGGUUUGAGAGGAUGAUCAGCCACACUGGAACUGAGACACGGUCCAGACUCCUACGGGAGGCAGCAGUGGGGAAUAUUGGACAAUGGGCGCAAGCCUGAUCCAGCCAUGCCGCGUGUGUGAAGAAGGCCUUCGGGUUGUAAAGCACUUUCAGUAGGGAGGAAGGGGCUGUAGUUAAUAGCUGCAACUUUUGACGUUACCUACAGAAGAAGCACCGGCUAACUCUGUGCCAGCAGCCGCCGUAAUAC